rnacentral:rRNA from 1 species
AGUGAACGCUGGCGGUAGGCCUAACACAUGCAAGUCGAACGGCAGCACAGUAAGAGCUUGCUCUUACGGGUGGCGAGUGGCGGACGGGUGAGGAAUACAUCGGAAUCUACUUUUUCGUGGGGGAUAACGUAGGGAAACUUACGCUAAUACCGCAUACGACCUACGGGUGAAAGCAGGGGAUCUUCGGACCUUGCGCGAUUGAAUGAGCCGAUGUCGGAUUAGCUAGUUGGCGGGGUAAAGGCCCACCAAGGCGACGAUCCGUAGCUGGUCUGAGAGGAUGAUCGGCCACACUGGAACUGGGACACGGUCCAGACUCCUACGGGGGGCAGCAGUGGGGAAUAUUGGACAAUGGGCGCAAGCCUGAUCCAGCCAUACCGCGUGGGUGAAGAAGGCCUUCGGGUUGUAAAGCCCUUUUGUUGGGAAAGAAAAGCAGCAGGUUAAUACCCCGCUGUUCUGACGGUACCCAAAGAAUAAGCACCGGCUAACUUCGUG